rnacentral:lncRNA from 1 species
CGGCUUGGGUUGUUGCUUUAGCAUGGGUUUGAUCCCUGGCCUGGGAACGUCUGCAUCCUGCAGGGGCCUCCACAAGAAAAAAAUGAGGCACUUAAAUCAGGGCAUGAAGUGGCCCCAUUAUUGGAAUGUUCUCGUUAAGGCUAUAGAACCAUUUUCUUUCCACCUUUGUUUCUUGCAGAUAAUCCAAGCUUGCAUCAGUACCGUCAUCCAGUCUUAUUAAACUGAGCACAAAGAACAAAAGUUAUCCCGUGCUUGGUGGUUGCUCAUCUAGCCAGGCAUCAAGGAUGUCUGGACUUUGGUUAUUUGGGGGAAGGGGCAGAGAAGGAAGACAGGGCUGGAGGUGGGGCGGAAUACAUCAUGGGCUACUUGAGGUCCUUACCAGAGUGAGAUUUUUAAAUAAUGUCUUGCCCUUUUCACUCUUUUCCGUCCUAUUCUAAAGUCUCUCGUAAUGACAGACGUGGAGACAUUUGUCUUGAGAGCCGCCUGUCUUUUACUAAAAGUAUUGGGGAUGGCUUUUAAACAAACCAGUUGGUGAAAGUGCUGUGCUCAAGGACCACCCUCUCUGCGGAGAAAGAGGAGGCAGCGAAAUGUGAUACCCUCUUUGCAUCCUGUGCUGUCAUCCUUCAAAUUUGAAUUACCGCAUGCACGUCUCCCCUUAGCUAAUAAUCACGGAUGAAUUGCAACAGCAGAGGCUUCCCAGUGGCACCUCCAACUCCUGGUUGUGUUAAUGAGCGUUCCCAGUCCUUCUGCAAAGAUAAGCUUGAUGCAAAUUGCUGAGAAAAUACUGACCUGCUCAUAGCCUUCUCCUUUUUUUUUUUUUUUCCAAUUAGCCUUGUGCUGUAAUUUGAAGACCCACGUCUCAUGAGUUAUCAGCCACUUAGUGAGGAACAUCAAUUCUGGUUUUAAGACAGCUUCCCACUUCCUGCUCUGCUACCUUCUGCCUUGCACUGAUGGUUUUUGAGUGUGGGAUCCUCUCGGCAGCCUUCAACAAGCUGAUAACUUAGCACAUAAUUUAUGUGACGUUUGGAGCCGUUCUCGAAUGUUUUCCUCUGCUGUGCAAACUGUACUCGAUUGGAGAAAAGGCAUAGUAUUCUGAACUUGUUUGAUCUGAAAUAUCAAAUCUGAGUCUGAAAUAUAAUUAUAAUUGAAAUGACGAAUAGUUUAUAGUAAGCACCUCAGGUGUUGAAAUGAUGAUGAGACCAAGGGUCAGAAGAUCUGUGACCCCGAUAAUCACUUUGAGGGAUUGGUGCAAGGAUUGUUCAAGCGAAUGCCCGGGACACCUCCCUAGAGUACAUAGAUAUGAACUUCUGUCUUGUGUCAUCACCUCCUUUCCCUCCCAUUUAUUUCCUUUCCUUUAUUUUGUUAAAUACCUUGCAAGACAUUUAGUCCUGUGCAAAACAUCCAUGCAAACAUUUGGUCCAUGCCCAAAGGUCCUUCAUAACUGGUCCUCUCCAGAACAUCUGUGAUACAUUUGGUCCACCAGACUGAUAGAACAUUGAUAGUCUAUGCCAAAAGGUCUUUGAUAUUUGGUCAUAUCUGGUCUUCUCCAAAACAUCCGUAAGACAUUUGCUUCACGGCAAAAGUCCUUGCUAUUUGAUCCCGUGCAGAACGUUUUGGAAGAAACCACAUAUAGUCAUGGACAUUUUGGAAAGGACAGCUAUCCAGGGUCUUUUUGCAUGGACCAAAUGCCUUAUGGAUGUUUUGGACAGGACCAAAUGCCUGCUAACCUCUCCGUUAGCUCCUUUUCUCUUGCUGCUCUGAGAACAAUUUCCUUAGUUUGCUUUGUGGACGGUCUUGCAGAAUUCAAAUCUUGACUGCAUCAUUCCUAAAUCCAUGCUCCUUUGGACCUACCAUGUAUUGCUUGGUGUUCAGAAGUCUCAGAAAAGCAAGUUAAAGCCAGGUCCUUCAAAGAUACGCAACUUCCAAGAGUUUUAAUUUUGAGUUUCUGAGUCUGGUGCAGGCAGAAUGUCUGAGGAAGCAGCCAUCGUGAGAAGAGGUAGGAUAGUCGGAAAAAAUAAUAAUAAAGAAUUCAUACCAAAGUGUAAACAUAGGAAUGUUAACUGUAAACAUAGGAAUGUUAACAAAGAAAAACCUUCUAAAAAUGGAAAAAUGAGUAUUAGAAGUAGUCAUUCCACAGACUUUUUGCUUAAGCUCUCUGGGCAUCCUGCAAUCAAAGUCUUAUAGAAUUUCACUUGCAUACCGUUAUUAGCAGAUUCACUGCCUAAAUAAAAUGCAAAUUGAAAAUUUUCUUACCCUUAGGCAGAGGAUGAAACACGUUCAAAAAGUGGGAUAAGCUUAUUUGUUUCGUGGGUUUAACCAAUAACAGAAAUAAUGAUUUCUGGGCCUUGGUGUUUAUUUCUGACACACUCUAGCAGGCUUCAGAUAGCAAGUGACUUCAUGGGUAUUAAGCUAGGGCACCGCCACGGCCUCUGGUCAAACCUAUGGGAGUUGCUGAUUGGAAUUACUAAAUGUCUAAGUUUAGAAAUAAUCUGGUGCAUAACUUCUGUGCUCUUGGACACUCAAAGCAUGAAUCAUUGGUCAGUCAGAGUUCCUAUGAUGGUUCAUAUUAUCAGCUUGAGUGGACCACGAGGUGCCUAGAGAGUUGCUCCAACAUUAUUCUGGGUGUUUCCCCGAGUGUGUCCUGGAUGAGAUGAACAUUUAAAUCAGUAGACUGAGUACAACAGAUAGCCCUCUGUAUUUGUUGUGGGCCUUGUCUAAUCAGUUGAAAGCCUCAUAGUACAAACAAGGACGGAUCCUUCCCUGGAAUAAGAGAAUUUUCCUGCCCAUUAGGGUUCGCACUGGGACAUGGGCUGUUCCUGUUUCCAUAGCAGCAUCUGGCUUUUGCAUUUGAACUGAAAAACAAGCUUUGCAGGUAUUGCAUUUGCUGGUCUCCAUGAUCAUGUCAGCCAGUUCCGUGUAAUUUUACAUACAUAUAUGUAUGUAUGUAUGAUGUAUGUGUAUAUAUGUAUUUAUAUUUUAUUUAUUUAUUUAUUUUUUGUCUUUUUGGCAUUUCUUGGGCCGCUCCCGCACCAUAUGGAGAGCUGACAAGAUUUCUUCGAUUUGAAAACGAGGGAAACAACUCCGUGUGAUAAUACAUCUUAAUGUAACCAAAGAUGCAUCAAACUAUGACGUUGGAACCUAGCAGCCUGGAGAAAGUUAAAAAGAAAGAAAAUGCCAAGUAUUGGUGAGGACAGAAACAACUUUCAUACAGCAUUGGUGGGGAAGUCAUUUGUUAUAAAAAAAAAAAAUCAUUGGGUAGUAGCUCUUGCCAGGAACUUUGUUCAUUUUAGCCCCAAACUGGAUAGACCCCCCCCCCUCCACAAUGGCCAUCACUAAGGCCAUGGAAUUGGUUUAUAUUCUUCAAAUGGCCUAAGCUAUAUGAAAAAAAGGGAAUAGCUGCUUCAUGCAAGAAUAGGGAUGCGUAUCACACAUAUAAAAUUGAGCAGAAGUAGCAAGGCACAGAAAGAGACCUGUAUGUUUCCAUGGCUAGGCAGUUCCAAAACGCACAGAAUGGAUGAUAGACGCCUGAAGAGUGGUUAAUUUCCAGGAGAGGUUGACAGGAAAGGAGAAUAAGGGGGCUCUUAGGGGGUGCGGGAAACGUUUUAGGCAUUAAUCUCGGAUUUAGUUGCAGAGACAUAUUUGUGUAGAAAAAACCCCCAUCAAGAUAUGCUCAUUGACCUUGUAAUAAAAGCAAUGGGAUAAGGAAUCCGCACUAGGUUAUUUGCCUUUUAGAAUCCCUAAUUUACUUCAAGUUGAGUGUGGUCCUACACAUGGAGUCUUUCCUUCUUCAUUUCCACACUGGAAAUCUCAGCAUCCUACCUUCACGCAUUUCCAUAAUGUCUCCUGAUGAAGACUGGAAGUAAACCUAGGUUUUAUAAGAAAGAAGAAAAAAAAAAAA